rnacentral:rRNA from 1 species
ACACGACUACAUUAGAUACCCCCGUAGUCCAGGGUGUAAACGCUGCGGGCUUGGUGUUGGGGGUCCUUAGUGGGCGCCCAGUGCCGGAGAGAAGUUGUUAAGCCUGCUGCCUGGGAGUACGGCCGCAAGGCUGAAACUUAAAGGAAUUGGCGGGGGAGCACAACAACGGGUGGAGCUUGCGGUUUAAUUGGAUUCAACGCCGGAAAUCUUACCGGGACCGACAGCAACAUGAAGGCCAAGCUGAAGACUUUGCCGGAUUAGCUG